rfam:Parasitella parasitica strain CBS 412.66 genome assembly, contig: contig_10517
GCCCCUGUGGCCUAAUGGAUAGGGCGUGAGACUCCUAAUCUUAAGAUUGUGGGUUCGAAUCCCAUCUGGGGUG